GGCGAGGUGGCAGAGUGGUCUAAUGCGCUUCAUCUACAUCCGAUUUUUCAGCUUCCAGCUCUAGAAUCGCUAACCAUGAAGUAUACUGCGGUAUUCGAAGGUUCGAAUCCUUCCCUUGCCU
rnacentral:tRNA from 1 species